UACGUAGGGAGCAAGCGUUGUCCGGAAUUAUUGGGCGUAAAGAGCUCGUAGGCGGUCUGUUGCGUCCGCUGUGAAAGUCGAAGGCUCAACCUUCGAAAGCCGAUGGAUACUGCAGGGCUAGAGUCCGGAAGAGGCGAGUGGAAUUCCUGGUGUAGCGGUGAAAUGCGUAGAUAUCGUAAGGAAGACCAGUGGCGAAGGCGGGUCUCUGGACAGUUCCUGACGCUGAGGCACGAAGGCCAGGGGAGCAAACGGG
rnacentral:rRNA from 1 species